UACGAAGGGGGGCUAGCGUUGCUCGGAAUCACUGGGCGUAAAGCGCACGUAGGCGGGUCGUUAAGUCAGGGGUGAAAUCCCGGAGCUCAACUCCGGAACUGCCUUUGAUACUGGCGAUCUUGAGUUCGAGAGAGGUGAGUGGAACUGCGAGUGUAGAGGUGAAAUUCGUAGAUAUUCGCAAGAACACCAGUGGCGAAGGCGGCUCACUGGCUCGAUACUGACGCUGAGGUGCGAAAGCGUGGGGAGCAAACAGG
rnacentral:rRNA from 1 species